rnacentral:rRNA from 1 species
CGUGUAGGUGGGUCUCUAAGUCGGUGGUGAAAUCCUGCAGCUUAACUGUAGAAUUGCCCUCGAUACUGGAGAUCUUGAGUGCGGCAGAGGGAGAUGGAAUUCAUGGUGUAGCGGUGAAAUGUGUAGAUAUCGUGAAGAACACCAGUCGCGAAGGCGGUCUCCUGGUCCGCUACUGACACUGAGGCGCGAAAGCGUGGGGAGCAAACA